rnacentral:lncRNA from 1 species
UAUGGACCACCAGAGCUUACAUUCCAGUGACGGGCAAGGACAGUGGGAUUCUGCGGGCUUCGGUGCCUUCUCCACGAUGCUGAGGGCCUGAGCCUGCUCCACAGCCUUGAAUGUUUAAGGCAUCCUCGCUUCCAGCCCCCGUGUGGCGAGAAAGCAGUAAAGGAGCAGAGGGAAGGUCCGGACCCCCACGGCCAAAGGAGGCAUCUGCGCAGAGCACACAGCACUGGCUGGCACCUGACUCUUCUGUGGCGGCCCUGAGGCCCGCACUGUGCGGGAAGCGGCAGCCGAAGGGCCCGGAUUCAAGGCCGGCAUGGACUCGGGAGCUCGUGACCUUGGGCCAGUCGCUCCACCUCUCUGGGAUUCUGCACUCUUCUCUUUGACAAUGUGUGGGUGUUCCCCAGGCACCUUCAGGGCAGCAGAGAAAGCCAAGAUGACAGAUGCUGGAGAAUGACAGGAG